CUACGACUAAAAUUACGAGCACAAUAAAGUUUCAUAAUCGAAUGUUUACGAAACAAUGGCGGCUUUGUUUUUGGCGCGAACAUUUACGCGGGAAAUGGCGAAAGUGUACAACUACCGUUACGACUCGCACGUGCCUCUCGAUUCAAUAGUGUCUACAAUCAGCGCCAUCUAGUGCAGCGGCGAUAGCACGCACGAUGUUUUCGACCGUGGCUGGCGCCGCUCUGUUUUAUCGAGCGGUGUCGCCAAUCAGAAAGCCUGCAUUUACCGACUUUUGACAGUGACGUCUUAAAUGUCACUCACAUUUCUUCUUCCCUACAAUUUUUGUAAAACCUGUACCUACAUGUAUAAAAAAUAAACGCACUAGUUACUGGAAAAAUAAUAAAGCAAAUUCAUUGAAACACACACAAGAAUCCCGAACAAAAUUGGACCUUCAGACCCGGAUCUUCAGCAGAAUCAGCAUUGGCAGUCACGGUCAGGUCAAUCAAUCCUUUCCUUUCCCAAACCGCUACUCAAUUUGUGCUAACAUCGUCAUUAUUGUGCAAAUUCCAGUCUUCGCAGCCACAUGUGCAGCGGCCACAUUGCCACGAGCACGACAUUGCAGUUAAAACUAUCCGACAGAUUUGCUCCCGUUAAGUCCAGCUCAUUUUUUGAUUGGCCGGCCACUUACUGCGCCUGCUGACAAGAAAGACCUGACGAUGACAGCCACACAUCGCCUUCCACGAUAUGAUCGCAUAGAACAGAUGCGACAAAACUUCUGGCGUCGGUGGGCUACGGAAUAUAUUUCUGAGCUUCAGAAGAGGACCAAGUGGCAAUCUAACCAAGACACAUUACUUCCGAACACACUGGUCCUAAUAAAGAAGAUCACCUUCCACCCCUGAAAUGGCAACUUGGACGAGUGCAAGAGACGUUCCCAGGUCGAGAUGGCCUCUCUCGUGUAGCAGUCAUCAAGACGGCGACCGGAAUUAUCAAGAGGACGUACCCAAAACUCUGUCCACUACUACAACCACAGUAACUUCGUUGGAAGCUGGUGCUUCCAAGGCCGGGAGUAUGUCUACAAUCAGCGCCAUCUAGUGCAGCGGCGAUAGCACGCACGAUGUUUUCGACCGUGGCUGGCGCCGCUCUGUUUUAUCGAGCGGUGUCGCCAAUCAGAAAGCCUGCAUUUACCGACUUUUGACAGUGACGUCUUAAAUGUCACUCACAUUUCUUCUUCCCUACAAUUUUUGUAAAACCUGUACCUACAUGUAUAAAAAAUAAACGCACUAGUUACUGGAAAAAUAAUAAAGCAAA